rnacentral:tRNA from 1 species
GCGGGCGUAGCUCAGGUGGUAGAGCAUCAGCUUCCCAAGCUGAGGGUCGCGGGUUCGAGUCCCGUCGCCCGCUCCA